UACGUAGGGGGCGAGCGUUGUCCGGAAUUAUUGGGCGUAAAGAGCGUGUAGGCGGUCCGGUAAGUCGGCUGUGAAAGUCCAGGGCUCAACCCUGGGAUGCCGGUCGAUACUGCCUGACUAGAGUUCGGAAGAGGCGAGUGGAAUUCCCGGUGUAGCGGUGAAAUGCGCAGAUAUCGGGAGGAACACCAAUGGCGAAGGCAGCUCGCUGGGACGUUACUGACGCUGAGACGCGAAAGCGUGGGGAGCAAACAGG
rnacentral:rRNA from 1 species